rnacentral:lncRNA from 1 species
AUAUAUAUAUAUAUAGAGUUGAGCUAGAAUACUCUCGAUAGUAAACGGGGCAUUUUACUAUCGAGUUGUUUUUGAUGAUAGAGCUUCCAAAUUGACGAUCGGCUCCGUUGAACAUGAUCUAUACCACUUAAAGUGUUUAGAAAUCAAAUUUCAAAUCUUUUCGACAUCAUUUGUCUAAUGAUCAAAGGGUUUCAAAAUUUGUAAUUUUAAUGGUGGAUAAGAGACGUUUUCUCGUUUAACGGUGUAAAGAUAUCCAAAUCAAUUAAAAUUUUGUUAGAAAAUUCUUUAAACUAUUUAAAACAAGAUCUAUAUUUUUGAUCUUGAUUACAAGACUCCUAUCGUCAUUUUUUAAAGAAUAUUUAUUUUCAACCAUUCAUUUUCUGUUCACUAGAUGGAUAAAAGAACAAUAUCGAAGGUGCGUGAAAUUUGUUUUCUAGGUAGUUUAAAUGGUUUAGAUCAUAUUUAUCGGAGCUGAUCGUCAAUUUGGAAGCUCUAUCAUCGAAAACAACUCGAUAGUAAAAUGCUCCGUUUACUAUCGAUCGAGAGUAUUCUAGCUCAACUCUAUAUAUAUAUAUAUAUAUAGUGGGAAUUAAGA